GACGAACGCUGGCGGCGUGCUUAACACAUGCAAGUCGAGCGGUAAGGCCCUUUCGGGGGUACGACGAGCGGCGAACGGGUGAGUAACACGUGGGUGACCUGCCCUCCAGCUCUGGGAUAAGCCUGGGAAACCGGGUCUAAUACCGGAUAUGACUCCAUGACGCAUGUUGUGGGGUGGAAAGCCUUGUGCGGCUGAGGAUGGGCCCGCGGCCUAUCAGCUUGUUGGUGGGGUGAUGGCCUACCAAGGCGACGACGGGUAGCCGGCCUGAGAGGGCGACCGGCCACACUGGGACUGAGACACGGCCCAGACUCCUACGGGAGGCAGCAGUGGGGAAUCUUGCGCAAUGGGCGAAAGCCUGACGCAGCGACGCCGCGUGAGGGAUGACGGCCUGG
rnacentral:rRNA from 1 species